GAAUCUUAGACAAUGGGGGAAACCCUGAUCUAGCCAUGCCGCGUGAGUGAUGAAGGCCUUAGGGUCGUAAAGCUCUUUCGCCAGAGAUGAUAAUGACAGUAUCUGGUAAAGCAACCCCGGCUAACUCCGUACCAGCAGCCGCGGUAAGACGGCGGGGGUUAGCGUUGUUCGGAAUUACUGGGCGUAAAGCGCACGUAGGCGGAUUAGAAAGUUGGGGGUGAAAUCCCAGGGCUCAACCCUGGAACUGCCUCCAAAACUUCUAGUCUAGAGUUCGAGAGAGGUGAGUGGAAUUCCGAGUGUAGAGGUGAAAUUCGUAGAUAUUCGGAGGAACACCAGUGGCGAAGGCGGCUCACUGGCUCGAUACUGACGCUGAGGUGCGAAAGCGUGGGGAGCAAACAGG
rnacentral:rRNA from 1 species